rnacentral:pre_miRNA from 1 species
CAGAUACUUCCUCCGUUCGGAAAUACUUGUCAUUAAAAUGGAUGUAUCUAGAUGUAUUUUAGUUCUAGAUACAUUCAUUUUGAUGACAAGUAAUUCCGAACAGAGGGAGUACUAU